AUCGCUUCUCGGUCUUUUGGCUAAGAUCAAAGUGUAGUAUUAGGUAAACUUAUAAGAGUAAAUUUUAUUAAUCUUUU
rnacentral:snRNA from 1 species